CCUACGGGCGGCAGCAGUGAGGAAUAUUGGUCAAUGGACGAGAGUCUGAACCAGCCAAGUCGCGUGAAGGAUGACUGCCCUAUGGGUUGUAAACCUCUUUUAUAUGGGAAUAAAACGUUCCACGUGUGGCAUUUUGUAUGUACCAUAUGAAUAAGCAUCGGCUAACUCCGUGCCAGCAGCCGCGGUAAUACGGAGGAUGCGAGCGUUAUCCGGAUUUAUUGGGUUUAAAGGGAGCGUAGGUGGAUUGUUAAGUCAGUUGUGAAAGUUCGGGGCUCAACCGUAGAAUUGCAGUUGAAACUGGCAGUCUUGAGUACAGUAGAGGUAGGCGGAAUUCGUGGUGUAGCGGUGAAAUGCUUAGAUAUCACGAAGAACUCCGAUUGCGAAGGCAGCUCACUGGACUGCAACUGACACUGAGGCACGAAAGUGUGGGUAUCAAACAGGAUUAGAUACCCUUGUAGUC
rnacentral:rRNA from 1 species